AUGGAACCUGUUUUGAUUCGUUGCUUUUUCUUUGUUUUUGUUAAAUUGUUCAUGAUGAGGACGAUAUUUGCAUGAAAUCGGGAAGAAAGUUCUGCAGGAAAAUUAGGCGAGAAGGUUCCAUAACUUUCCACAUAAUUGUUUAAGAUUCACAUGUA
rnacentral:ribozyme from 1 species